AACAACCAACACGAUUGGUCGACA
rnacentral:siRNA from 1 species